UGUGCUGUUGUCUGUUUUUAGGUGAGCUGCUGAGCCAACCGCGGCCCGACGGACUGACUGAGAUCAUCUGUCCAAAGAACGGCUUGGAGCGGGUCGACGUGUCCCUGGUUUACCCCCCAACUCCCACAGCUACGAGCCCCAAGUGACUCCACCUCCUCCCUUGACUCCAAACCUCAGACCCGGACUCUGCCUACCAAAUACAUACCUGACCCAAUUAAUCAUCCCCCCUUCUGCUGCUCACCUGCACCAUCUCCCCUCCCACCACCAUUAUCAGCACAGCUGCUUCUGCAAACACAGAGGAACUCAGCACAUUCAGGUUUGUGGAUCUGCUCUCUUUUAGCAUUACCUCGGUGCAGACUGUGAGGAGCUUUUCAUCAACACAUCUGCAGUCUGUAGCAACUGAACCCCUAAGGCUGCUUUCUAUGUUUCUUCUCUCAUUCUGAGAUGGCACGCACAGUUUUACAGUCACUAGCUCAAGUUGUAUUUGUUUGGUCAUUUAUCAGCAGAAAGAUUUUUUUCUCCAGACAAACUUGUAAAGCAGAAAGACUUCUUUUUAUCCUUACAUGAGAGACCAUGCAGUGAGGACCAGCUGGGCAAGGUGUACAAAGCCUCCCAUCCUGAAGCUGCAGACCUGCAGGGCGGCAUGAAGGACAGCAGUAGCAGUGUGUCUAUGCUCAUACAUGUUGCUAUGCAGUGUAGACCACAAGUCACUAUGAUUAUCACAGACAUCUUAGUUAGGUUCAGACAAAAUGUAACAGCAGAUUACAGGCCAGCAGGUGGAGCCAAAGAUCAAAGAGCUUUUAUUUAAAUAUCAGAGAAGCAGAUCCUGUGGAAGAUGAAUUUGAGGACAUUAAACCUGUUGCUGUGACUCUUGUUUCAGUAAGCGGGAUGUUUUUAUCACUUCGUGUCAGAUUUCACUUAAUUCAAAGCGGUUCUGAGCAGGCUUUAGGAAAUAUCUGUAAAACUACAGUUUAUUUUACCAUCAGACAAUCCAUUUAACCGGAGAACACAUCAACAACGUCCUCAUGGGGUCAAGCACCGAUCUGUGUCAAAUGUAUGGAAUUUUGACAUGGAGAAAUCCAUAGUAGGGCUGGAC